GAUGAACGCUAGCGGCAGGCCUAACACAUGCAAGUCAAGGGGCAGCACGUCAAGUUAGCAAUAACUUAUGGUGGCGACCGGCGGACGGGUGCGUAACGCGUAUGUAACCUACCUUUAAUCGGGGGAUAAUUCGGAGAAAUCUGGUCUAAUACCCCAUAACAUCCCGGGAGGCAUCUCCUGGGGUUAAAAAUUCAGGUGAUUAGAGAUGGACAUGCGUAACAUUAGUUAGUUGGUGAGGUAACGGCUCACCAAGACUACGAUGUUUAGGGGGACUGAGAGGUUAACCCCCCACACUGGAACUGAGACACGGUCCAGACUCCUACGGGAGGCAGCAGUGAGGAAUAUUGGUCAAUGGGGGCAACCCUGAACCAGCCAUGCCGCGUGCAGGAAGACGGCUCUAUGAGUUGUAAACUGCUUUUGUACGAGGGUAAAGUGGGGUACGUGUACCCUUUUGAAAGUAUCGUACGAAUAAGGAUCGGCUAACUCCGUGCCAGCCGCCGCGGUAA
rnacentral:rRNA from 1 species